UUCAAUGCUACAAAUUGCUGCUUCCAUUUCACAAACACUCUCUUCAUCACCAUCUAGUAUGGCCUUCUUGUAAGACUGGAUAAGAGUCUUCAUAUUAAGUAAAAUUUCCUGACCUGCCAUAUUAGCUGGUGCAUUUUCCCGAAUCUGGCUCACAUCAUCACCAUUGAUUAUCUUGGAUUCAGAUUUUGCGGCUUUGAAGGACGCUUUGAAAGGAGAGCGCGCGAAUUGGACUCUGGGACAUGGCGGGAAAUCUAGGGAUACGGUUAGGGUUACGGCUCG
rnacentral:misc_RNA from 1 species